rnacentral:rRNA from 1 species
GUCGAACGAUGAACCACUUCGGUGGGGAUUAGUGGCGAACGGGUGAGUAACACGUGGGCAAUCUGCCCUUCACUCUGGGACAAGCCCUGGAAACGGGGUCUAAUACCGGAUAACACUGCCACGGGCAUCUGUGGUGGUUAAAAGCUCCGGCGGUGAAGGAUGAGCCCGCGGCCUAUCAGCUUGUUGGUGAGGUAAUGGCUCACCAAGGCGACGACGGGUAGCCGGCCUGAGAGGGCGACCGGCCACACUGGGACUGAGACACGGCCCAGACUCCUACGGGAGGCAGCAGUGGGGAAUAUUGCACAAUGGGCGAAAGCCUGAUGCAGCGACGCCGCGUGAGGGAUGACGGCCUUCGGGUUGUAAACCUCUUUCAGCAGGGAAGAAGCGAAAGUGACGGUACCUGCAGAAGAAGCGCCGGCUAACUACGUGCCAGCAGCCGCGGUAAUACGUAGGGCGCAAGCGUUGUCCGGAAUUAUUGGGCGUAAAGAGCUCGUAGGCGGCUUGUCACGUCGGGUGUGAAAGCCCGGGGCUUAACCCCGGGUCUGCAUUCGAUACGGGCUAGCUAGAGUGUGGUAGGGGAGAUCGGAAUUCCUGGUGUAGCGGUGAAAUGCGCAGAUAUCAGGAGGAACACCGGUGGCGAAGCGGAUCUCUGGGCCAUUACUGACGCUGAGGAGCGAAAGCGUGGGGAGCGAACAGGAUUAGAUACCCUGGUAGUCCACGCCGUAACGGUGGGAACUAGGUGUUGGCGACAUUCCACGUCGUCGGUGCCGCAGCUAACG